rnacentral:rRNA from 1 species
GUGGGGAAUAUUGGACAAUGGGCGAAAGCCUGAUCCAGCCAUGCCGCGUGUGUGAAGAAGGUCUUCGGAUUGUAAAGCACUUUAAGUUGGGAGGAAGGGCAUUAACCUAAUACGUUAGUGUUUUGACGUUACCGACAGAAUAAGCACCGACUAACUUCGUGCCAGCAGCCGCGGUAAUACGAAGGGUGCAAGCGUUAAUCGGAAUUACUGGGCGUAAAGCGCGCGUAGGUGGUUCGUUAAGUUGGAUGUGAAAGCCCCGGGCUCAACCUGGGAACUGCAGCCAAAACUGGCGAGCUAGAGUACGGUAGAGGGUGGUAGAAUUUCCUGUGUAGCGGUGAAAUGCGUAGAUAUAGGAAGGAACACCAGUGGCGAAGGCGACCACCUGGACUGAUACUGACACUGAGGUGCGAAAGCGUGGGGAGCAAACAGGAUUAGAAACCCGUGUAGUCC